UACGGAGGAUGCGAGCGUUAUCCGGAUUUAUUGGGUUUAAAGGGUGCGUAGGCGGGUUAUCAAGUCAGCGGUAAAAUCGUGGAGCUCAACUCCAUCCAGCCGUUGAAACUGAUGAUCUUGAGUGGGCGAGAAGUAUGCGGAAUGCGUGGUGUAGCGGUGAAAUGCAUAGAUAUCACGCAGAACUCCGAUUGCGAAAGCAGCAUACCGGCGCCCGACUGACGCUGAAGCACGAAAGCGUGGGUAUCGAACAGG
rnacentral:rRNA from 1 species